GAGACUUUGAAGCGGCGUCGCUAGGCGUUGUGGAGUCAUCCUUGAAAUACCACCCUUGAAUUGCGUGAUGUCUAAUCCGCUUCGGCGGAGACAAUGUUUGGUGGGUAGUUUGACUGGGGUGGUCGCCUCCAAAAGUGUAACGGAGGCUUUCAAAGGUACCCUCAGCAUGUUUGGUAAUCAUGCGUGGAGCGCAAUAGCAUAAGGGUGCUUGACUGUGAGACUAACAAGUCGAUCAGGGUCGAAAGACGGAUAUAGUGAUCCGGUGGUUCUGUAUGGAAGGGCCAUCGCUCAACGGAUAAAAGGUACGCCGGGGAUAACAGGCUGAUACUGCCCAAGAGU
rnacentral:rRNA from 1 species